UUCUCCUGGAAACGGGUGGUAAUGCCGGAUGCUCCGACUCCUCGCAUGGGGUGUCGGGAAAGAUUUCAUCGGUAUGGGAUGGGGUCGCGUCCUAUCAGGUAGUCGGCGGGGUAACGGCCCACCGAGCCUACGACGGGUAGCCGGCCUGAGAGGGCGACCGGCCACAUUGGGACUGAGAUACGGCCCAGACUCCUACGGGAGGCAGCAGUGGGGAAUAUUGCACAAUGGGCGCAAGCCUGAUGCAGCGACGCCGCGUGCGGGAUGACGGCCUUCGGGUUGUAAACCGCUUUUGAUCGGGAGCAAGCCUUCGGGUGAGUGUACCUUUCGAAUAAGCACCGGCUAACUACGUGCCAGCAGCCGCGGUAAUACGUAGGGUGCAAGCGUUAUCCGGAAUUAUUGGGCGUAAAGGGCUCGUAGGCGGUUCGUCGCGUCCGGUGUGAAAGUCCAUCGCUUAACGGUGGAUCUGCGCCGGGUACGGGCGGGCUGGAGUGCGGUAGGGGAGACUGGAAUUCCCGGUGUAACGGUGGAAUGUGUAGAUAUCGGGAAAGAACACCA
rnacentral:rRNA from 1 species